GGGUUGUGAGGUUAAGCGACUAAGCGUACACGGUGGAUGCCCUGGCAGUCAGAGGCGAUGAAGGGCGUACUAAUCUGCGAUAAGCGCCGGUAAGGUGAUAUGAACCGUUAUAACCGGCGAUACCCGAAUGGGGAAACCCAGUGUGAUUCGUCACACUAUCAUUAACUGAAUCCAUAGGUUAAUGAGGCGAACCGGGGGAACUGAAACAUCUAAGUACCCCGAGGAAAAGAAAUCAACCGAGAUUCCCCCAGUAGCGGCGAGCGAACGGGGAGGAGCCCAGAGCCUGAAUCAGCAUGUGUGUUAGUGGAAGCGUCUGGAAAGGCGCGCGAUACAGGGUGACAGCCCCGUACACAAAAGCGCAUGUGCUGUGAGCUCGAUGAGUAGGGCGGGACACGUGGUAUCCUGUCUGAAUAUGGGGGGACCAUCCUCCAAGGCUAAAUACUCCUGACUGACCGAUAGUGAACCAGUACCGUGAGGGAAAGGCGAAAAGAACCCCGGCGAGGGGAGUGAAAAAGAACCUGAAACCGUGUACGUACAAGCAGUGGGAGCACCCUUUGGGUGUGACUGCGUACCUUUUGUAUAAUGGGUCAGCGACUUAUAU
rnacentral:rRNA from 1 species